rnacentral:rRNA from 1 species
CCUACGGGAGGCAGCAGUGGGGAAUAUUGGACAAUGGGGGCAACCCUGAUCCAGCAAUGCCGCGUGUGUGAAGAAGGUCUUCGGAUUGUAAAGCACUUUCGACGGGGACGAUGAUGGCGGUACCCGUAGAAGAAGCCCCGGCUAACUUCGUGCCAGCAGCCGCGGUAAUA